rnacentral:miRNA from 1 species
AAGUAGACAUGAGUGGUAUUUAUG